AACGCAGUCGACAGGGAGGCAAACACAUCCGCCUUAUCACUACCUAGGUCUGGGUUUUACUGCGGGAGGGGGAAGUGGGUCCAAGUCCAGGUGUCUUCACAGCUGGGCACAAGAAGGUCUGAAGGCUGGACACGCAUAGCUCGCUCACUGUUCCCAUAGCCUCAGAGGGGGAUUCUGUAUCUGGGUGUGAAGUCUCCGUUAGUGGCCAAGCUGCUCCUUCGACACGCCGCUCAGUUUGAAGGAAAGGGGAAGCUCAGAAAACCUUGAAACUCUGCUGCGACUGUUGACAGUAGUAACUCCUUGUUGAAGAGAGACUCCCAGCUGUUUCUGAGUCACUUUGCUUCAUUAAAUGACCGAGUCUCAUGACUUCUCUGCUUUUUCUGGCAAAGAAUAAAAAUGUCUCACACUCAC